CCUACGGGAGGCAGCAGUGGGGGAUAUUGGACAAUGGGGGAAACCCUGAUCCAGCGACGCCGCGUGAGUGAAGAAGUAUUUCGGUAUGUAAAGCUCUAUCAGCAGGGAAGAAAGAAAUGACGGUACCUGAGUAAGAAGCACCGGCUAACUACGUGCCAGCAGCCGCGGUAAUACGGAGGGGGCAAGCGUUAUCCGGAAUUACUGGGUGUAAGGGGAGCGUAGACGGUAAUGCAAGUCUGGAGUGAAAGGCGGGGGCCCAACCCCCGGACUGCUCUGGAAACUGUGUAACUGGAGUGCAGGAGAGGCAGGCGGAAUUCCUAGUGUAGCGGUGAAAUGCGUAGAUAUUAGGAGGAACACCAGUGGCGAAGGCGGCCUGCUGGACUGUAACUGACGUUGAGGCUCGAAAGCGUGGGGAGCAAACAGGAUUAGAUACCCCUGUAGUC
rnacentral:rRNA from 1 species